GGACGAACGCUGGCGUUGGAGAGUUUGAUCCUGGCUCAGGACGAACGCUGGCGGCGUGCUUAACACAUGCAAGUCGAGCGGUAAGGCCUUUCGGGGUACACGAGCGGCGAACGGGUGAGUAACACGUGGGUGAUCUGCCCUGCACUUCGGGAUAAGCCUGGGAAACUGGGUCUAAUACCGGAUAUGACCUCCUAUCGCAUGGUGGGUGGUGGAAAGAUUUAUCGGUGCAGGAUGGGCCCGCGGCCUAUCAGCUUGUUGGUGGGGUAAUGGCCUACCAAGGCGACGACGGGUAGCCGACCUGAGAGGGUGACCGGCCACACUGGGACUGAGACACGGCCCAGACUCCUACGGGAGGCAGCAGUGGGGAAUAUUGCACAAUGGGCGAAAGCCUGAUGCAGCGACGCCGCGUGAGGGAUGACGGCCUUCGGGUUGUAAACCUCUUUCAGCAGGGACGAAGCGCAAGUGACGGUACCUGCAGAAGAAGCACCGGCUAACUACGUGCCAGCAGCCGCGGUAAUAAGGGACGGCUAACUACGU
rnacentral:rRNA from 1 species